UUUUUUAACUAGAAUACAUUUAGAAUUCACUUGUAAUUUUUGAGGCACUUUUAUUUUUUAAAAAUAUUAUUGCAAUUGGCAUAACUCAAUCAAAAUUUUCAGACAAACUAAAAAUAACCAGUAAAAAUAAUUCAUAUUAGACCUACCUACAUAAAAUAAUAAUAUAAUUACCUCAAAUCGCCAGCAAGGAUUCUGUUAGAGGAGAGGAUCGAAUCAUAUUUCUUUGAAGUCAGUAAAGAGUGAAAGAACACAUAUAUAUGGCCAUUGAUAUCUGCACAUUUUACUAAAAUGAUAGCUACUUCCAUUUACCGCUAUCAGAUACGGUGACGCAAAAAAACUCAUAUUUAUUUAGAACCAGAAUCGUUAACUUUUGUAAACUGUUUCCAUAAAUCGCCAUCAAAACUCAGGUAAAGGAGAGAAGAAAGCCAUAUUUACUUAGAACCAGGAAACUUAAAUUAAAUAUAUCAACUCAACAGAGAGUGGCAGAAGACUGUAUUACGUCUAUAUACUUGAUGUAACUACCAACUCUUUCACAUUACCAAAGUAAUAGUGUUUACAAACUAUCACAAAACUGAACUGCGAGUUAAUUCUCUAUAUCGCUAUCAAUUGUUAGGUACAAAAGAGGAGAAAGCAAUACUACUUGAGAACCUGGUUUCAUCGCAUCAGUUCAUAAGCUAGAGGGAUUUCAAGUAAAUAAGUGCGCUGCAUAAACUGAAAAUUAAGCAAACGCGUAUACACUUCUUUAGUAUUUCUCUACAAUUUAAGAAGUGAUCUACAGCGGUUCUUGACCUGUGCAAUCAGAGAAGAAACUUUUUCUGGUUCUUGACCAGUGUAACCUGUGAAGUGACCUCUUGCAGUUGUUGAUCUAUUCAAUCUGAGAAGUAAUUUUUGACGUAUUUGACGUAAUUUUUGAUUCUUGGCGUAUGCAAUUUGGGAAGUGAUCUUUUGCGGUUAUUGGACUAAUAACUAUUUUGACAGACAGUACCUGGCUGACGAGAAGAAACGCAUCCGAAAUUUAUCUUUGGACUUAAUCAAGCACUGACACGCAUUAUAGUCUAAUAGCAAUAUGAAUUUUGAGCAGAUAGAUUUAUUAACACCAAAUGAAGCGGAACAUUUAUUCUAUACCACCAAUCUUGGUAUAAAUAUCAGGCGUAGACACUAUGAGCAACUGGCAGACGAGUUGGUGUUUGUGAUGACACCAGCUGUUGAGCCGGAACUUUUUGAAGCCUAUAUUUAUUAUCGCAGUAAUGGUUCUGUAGCCUUUCUGGACAAAUUCUGUUGUCGUUCCGCCGAUAUAAAAUUGUUCUAUAAGGUAAGAGGAUUCAGUAGUUCAUUAGGUGUUGAGGUGAAUCGUCGGUGCUCAGCAGAAACAGCUCUUAUCUUGGCAAUGCAUCUAUAAGUCUGAAAUACAUAGAAGAAGAAAGGAUGUAGUGCUACUUGUAGCAUGCUGUGGUAUCAAUCUGAUUAUAGAAUUUUUGGAAUUCAUGAUUAUAAUUUGAGGUUGAAAUUAUUUUUACAGUAUGUAAGAAAUUGAUAAAAUGAAAAAUCUAAAAAUUAGUG